rnacentral:rRNA from 1 species
GACGAACGCUGGCGGCGUGCUUAACACAUGCAAGUCGAGCGGUAAGGCCCUUUCGGGGGUACACGAGCGGCGAACGGGUGAGUAACACGUGGGUGACCUGCCCUCAGCUCUGGGAUAAGCCUGGGAAACCGGGUCUAAUACUGGAUAUGACUCCAUGACGCAUGUUGUGGGGUGGAAAGCCUUGUGCGGCUGAGGAUGGGCCCGCGGCCUAUCAGCUUGUUGGUGGGGUGAUGGCCUACCAAGGCGACGACGGGUAGCCGGCCUGAGAGGGC